CAGCGGUGAAAUGCCCCCGCUCAACGGGGUGAAGUGCCAUUGAUACUGCCUUGCUGGAAUGCGGAUGCCGUGGGAGGAAUGUGUGGUGUAGCGGUGAAAUGCAUAGAUAUCACACAGAACACCGAUUGCGAAGGCAUCUCACGAAUCCGCGAUUGACGCUGAUGCACGAAAGCGUGGGUAUCAAAUAGGAUUAGAUACCCUAGUAGUCCACGCCGUAAACGAUGAGGACCAAGUGUUGGGGGUGAAACCUCAGUGCUGAAGUUAACGCAGUGAGUCCUCCGCCUGGGGAGUAUGCACGCAAGUGUGAAACUCAAAGGAAUUGACGGGGGCCCGCACAAGCGGUGGAGUAUGUGGUUUAAUUCGAAGCAACGCGAAGAACCUUACCAGGCCUUGACAUGGGAUGCGAAGACGCAGAGAUGCGUUGGAGGUCAACAUCCACACAGGUGGUGCAUGGUUGUCGUCAGCUCGUGUCGUGAGAUGUUGGGUCAAGUCCCGCAACGAGCGCAACCCUUGUGGCAUGUUGCUAACAGGAAAGCUGAGGACUCAUGCCAGACUGCCGGUGACAAACCGGAGGAAGGCGGGGAUGACGUCAAAUCAUCAUGCCCCUUAUGGCCUGGGCUACACACGUACUACAAUGGCGGCUACAAAGAGCGGCGAGACAGUAAUGUCGAGCGAAUCUCAUAAAAGCCGUCCCAGUUCGGAUUGGAGCCUGCAACCCGGCUCCAUGAAGUUGGAAUCGCUAGUAAUCGCGGAUCAGCAUGCCGCGGUGAAUACGCUCCCGGGCCUUGCACUCACCGCCCGUCAAG
rnacentral:rRNA from 1 species